rnacentral:misc_RNA from 1 species
UUGUGGAGGAGGACGCCGAAGGUGGGGCUAAUGACUGGGGUGAAGUCGUAACAAGGUAGCCGUACCGGAAGGUGCGGCUGGAUCACCUCCUAACAGGGAGACAACAAAAUGUUUAAUAUUAUUAUUUUGUCACCUUAGGUCGAUCGGUAUCUCACAUCCUUAAUUUAUUAAGGAUUUCACUUCCUAAGUUUUUCUAGGUCACACCCAUUAUUUUCCUGGGCCAUUAGCUCAGGUGGUUAGAGCCCACCCCUGAUAAGGGUGAGGUCCCUGGUUCAAGUCCAGGAUGGCCCAUAUCUCUAUGUUGGGGGUAUAGCUCAGUUGGUAGAGCGCCUGCUUUGCAAGCAGGAUGUCAGCGGUUCGAGUCCGCUUACCUCCACUGAUUACCACCUCUUCCAUAAUCUGUAGAAAGGAAAUGUUUUGGGUUGUGAUCAAUUCUGAACGAAUCUAGCUUCCUAAUGAAAUCAUUAAGAUGCUGGACUCAUUGAAUUAAUUUCAUUGUUUUCAGAGAACCUUGACAACUGCAUAGAUUAUUUUUAAAGACAAUAAGCAUCUUUUAAUGAUGCAGAUUUAUUAUUGGUGCAAAUGCAUUAAUAACAAUUCUAUUAAGCUGAUGCUUCAAUUAUUGAAGUUAUUGGUCAAGCUACAA